UAAAUUAUCUUAAAAUUUCAAAUAUAUGUAUGUAAAAUAUAUGUGUUAAAAUUACUCAGAGUAAUAACAUCCUUUGGUUAGAAAAGUCAGUUCACAUUUAUUGCAUUCACUUUAGUCUCUUUGGUUAGAUCUUAUCGAAACACUUUGAGUUGCUCCAGGCUAGAACACUUGAAAUGAAACCAUGCCUACGCUUAUUUCUUUUUCCAUCCUACAACUAAAAAAGUAGCUAGUGGGAUUCUUGUUUCUUGGUGCCAGUGGGCAAAACCAUGCUGGGAAUAUGGGGAACUGCUGUUGCUUAUAGUUCAGUUGCAUGAAUUAAGUAUGUAGACCCUAUGAUAAUAAGGACACUAGCCUAGUCAUUAAUAUUUCUCAUUUUCUUUUAAAUGCUAAAAUACGUGCUUUCUCUAUUUUUCUUUAGUAGUUUCUUAGCCUUUUAGUUUUUUUAUUAACAAAAAAGACCAAUUGGCAAAACCAUGUAGAGUUAGUCAUGUCCCAUUUGGUACAGUCAACCCAGACCUUGGGUACAAGCUGUUUAAAGAAUUGCAGUACAAAACUCUGGACAUCAGCUUUAAUUGGUUCCCACUAGCGAUCUGUCUCUAACCUUUGUUGUAGCAAUAAUAAUUGGCCACCUUUCUUUUUUCUAUUUGGUUUGACAUAUCUUCUUGGUAACUGUUAGGGAAAUUUUUUGCUUUGGCCUGCUAAGCAUCAUUUUCACUUCUGGUAGAAAAUCCUUGUUUACUUUCAAAAAAAUAACUUUCUCCAUUGUUUUUAGUCUUAGUCUAUUAUUUUGAUCCGUUAUAUGUAAUUCAUCAGCAAAUCCUGUUUGCCUAAUGUUCAAAUUGUAUCCAGAACUGAUCGCUUCUUAUCAUCUCCAUAGCUGCUGCUGCCUUUGCUUAAAUUAUUUCAAGAACCUCCAAAAUGGUCUCUGGGUUUCACCAGUUUAGCACUCUACAAUCUGUUCUGAACAUAGCAGCCAAUGUGAUUUUAUUAAAAAGUAAACUAGACCAUGUUUCUCUUCUUCAGAACUUUCCAUUCUUUUCUGAUCUGCCUGACAAUGAAAAUCAAAGCUCCUGCUGAGACUUACAUGGUCAGGCUCCCUGUUGUUUCUUUCAGUUCAUCUCUUACUAUUCCACCCCACUCUCAUACCUCAAUAUAUUCAUGAAUCACUCCCUACUUUCCUCCAGUAUUUAUCCAAGUAUUUGAACAGUAUUCCAUAUGGAGCAGGCCAUCAUUGAAUAUUUGCUGAUUGUCUCAAUGACCGUCAGUCAAGUUUCCCUGCCUUCCUCUGACAAGGGGUAGGACAUAUGACAUUUCAUUUAUCCUCUCUCAUAUUUCUUCCUCUUUCUUUCUCUUUCUUCCUAAGGAAAUUGAUUAUGGAGUGUCAUGAAUAAAGUUAAAAAAAGGUAAAACUCAUUCUUUUUUUUUUGGCUAAGCCCUGUCAUAUGGGAGUUUCCAGACUAGGGAUCAAACCCACACCACAGCAGUGACCCAAGCCACUGCAAUGACAAUGUCAGAUCCUUAACCCACUGCUCCACAAGGGAACUCCAAGAAUCUUUCUUAUUGAUAGAAAUUCUCUCCCAGUUACUUGAAGAUUAGAGACCUAAAAAUGAGCCCCAGUCCUUUCUAGCAAAUGCCACAUUUUUUAAUUGGCACUUAACUUGCCUUAACUAUUAUCAUCUCUCUAUUUCCGGUUAAUCACCUACAUGUGUGAACAAACCCAACAUUAGAAUCCCUUCUUUCACAUUCCAUUGUUGACUGUUUCCUGAGCUCUCUAAUCUGUAAGGAGUACAGAGCACCAUUAGCAGAGACAAACACUAUAUAAAACUGUUUGCAUUAGGACAAAACUUUUAGCAGCCGUUGUAUCAUACAGACAAUAUCAGUCCUGAUAGGUUGCAAGGAGUAAAAAUAUGAAGAAAAAAAAAAAAAACCUGGUUAGAAGGUAUGUCAGUUCUUCUCAUAAAUAUACAUAGAUUUUUUAAACCAUUUUUCAAAUUGAUAUUCCUUUUAAUAUAAAUUGCCUUGCAAAGAAGUUAAAUUUUUAAAAUAGUUUAUCCUUUCCUCUCCUCAAAACCUAGUAUUAGAAAAUGUGAAUUUUUUUUUGAGUUCACCAUUUUAGAUGACCCCAAAAGUGUCUUAAAUAUCCUACAAAACCUUUAUCAAGUAAUGCUGUCUAAAAGUGAAACAAAUGAUCUUGCAACUCAGAAAAGGCAAAAGGCACAUAUUCAUAGGUUCAUUAACUUAACAAAUACCUCUUAAUCCUCUCCUGUAUACCUGGAGAGACACAAUGAUGACUAAGACACAAAUAAUCCAUGCUACCAUAUUGCUUGUUAAACAUUUGCCCAUUUCGAGUAUGGGUAAUUUCAGAAAAGAGAAAAGAGAUUUUUAUAUGUUUAAUAUUUCUAUCCAUAAAUUAAAUAUUUUUUUGUAAUUUAUUAUUGAUUCUCUACUUUGUGAAUUCUCUCAGAAAUAACUAAACAGAUUAUACCCCUUUCUAGCUAUAUAUUUGAUAUGAAAAAUGUUUGCUUAUGAAUCCUCUUCCUUUUUUUUUUUCCUUACAGAAUAAAGAUCUAUACUUGCUUAUUUAAGGAAUAUAGGGAAGUUAAAUAAAUAUGCACUAUUUCUAAAACUGGGUGCUCAUUUUAGUGGAGCAUAAUGAAACUGGAAUGUAUUUUUAAAAGACAAUUUAAAUGCAAUGAUAGAUCAUCUGUAUUUAACAAAUAUGUACUUAUAUAUUUAUGAUGAAACCUGCUGAUUAUAAAUUAUAGAGCAAUACCUUAAACUGAAGUUUUAUACUACAUUUUAGUUACUAAACAGAAAUCUCAUAUAACUACAUGAUUCUACACAUAAAUAUUAAAACUAUAACACUUAGUAACUAAAAUAUAACAUUUCAUUAUUAUCUUAGUUACAUUGCUUUAAUUUAGUAUAGCGCUUUUUUGACUUUGUCAAAAUUUACAAUUUAAUAUGCAGUCAGUAUCAGUAAACAGAAUUUACCCUCUGAAGUCCCUUAUUAUCCAGAAUAGAAAUCUAUUUUUCAUCCCAACUUGAGUGUUCCCAUUUCUAACUGAAUUCACUCUUGUGUCAGAGCAUGCUUUUCCAGUAUAAGCAAUUCCAAAUUGCCCUAAUAACAGCAUGGGAUAGUUUGGAAACUGAAUAGACAGAAUAGGAGAGUGACAUGCAACCAGACGUAAAUGUCAUUACAGCCAAUCUGCUAUCCCCAAAUAAUACAUUUUCAAGAGAUUUUAAAUUGCAUAUAUUGAUUCACAAAUUCUUUAUCACAAAGAAAAUAACCACAUUUAUUUCUCAUAAACUAUUUUUCAGGAAUAGAUUUUCCAAGUGUAAGUGAUUUUAAAUGUCAAAGAAUUUAAACUUUUGAUAUUUAAAGUUAUGUUAAAUUGAAAGAUGAAUGCAGCAGAUUAAAUAAUAAGUAAAGAGGAAAUUAAUUUCAUUGUUUUCCAAGAGUCUAGAUGAGUGUCUAAUUGAAAUGAUGUGUUUUCAUGUUUCUUCUCUCCACGUUUUACCAGAGAAUAUCUAUCCUAGUUGUCUCCACUUUGCCAAUGCAGAAGUACUCCUAACUCUAAAAUCAGCAUUUUCAGUAUGUGUGUUCUGAGCGAAUCUAACUUAAACUUUUUUUUUGAAGGUUAGUUCAACACUCAAUAAACUGUGAAAUUUUCUUACUGAUACAUUUUCAUAGGUAUCAUUAGUGCUUGUAGUUUAUGAUUAAGGCUGGAAAACUCUUAGCACAUGUAUAUUUGUGUGUUUGGAAGUUCACUGAACAUAAAGGAGCAACAACCAAAACUAAAAAUCAAGAUUACAGAAUCGGUGCCACCAUUUGCUUGCACUAUUAUUGUCAGUAACUUUUCUUAUCUGGCUUUCAAUGUAUUUCUUGUAUAGAAAGUCAUAUGGGUUUUGAUGAUUUUUUGAAUCUUUGAGGAUUAAUUAAAUAAUAAUUUUAGUUUAUAGUUGUAUGAUGGGGGCAGAUUUUGUUUCAUUUCUUAAUAUGUUUUAUUUCCAGUGUAGAUAACUAUAUAGCUAGUUAAUUAGUAAUAUCUGAAAUCCUCUUCCAUCUCAUUCUUUUUCAUCAGUCUUGAAAAUAAGCCUUUACAUUUUUUUUUUUUUUUAGUUUCAAAACUUUUUUGAAAGGUAUAUUAUUUCUUUCUUCAUUUUGUGUAGUUUAUUUGGAUUGAUUUUUGGAGCUCACUUGUGUGUUUUUAUGUUUUUCAAUUUAGUGCCAUCUAUAGCCUUCAUAUAUUUUUCCAUUCCUAAUUCUAACCCAUUUUAUUACAUAUUUAAAUAUCUCAUAUCUCACUGAAUGCUGAAUAGCAUCUGUUUGCAAAUCGCACAAAUUUAACACAAAAGGCGUUUGGGUUACAGAAGAUAAACUGUGAAAAUCAAUGGUAUUGUGAAAGAUUAAAUAUUUAUAAAGCAUGCUGGUAUCCUGGGCAUAUAGCUGGGGGGACUGUGCUCCUUUGAUUUUGCAUGAGUGCCUAUGGAAAUUUGUAAAAGCUGGGCGAAAAUAAUGGAGAGAUUAGGAUCCUCAGAGCACAGACAUCUAUCCCCAUCCAUAGUUGUAGGGAUGUCACAGAAUUACUCCUGACAGUUUAGACAGUGUGGACUUGUUCCAGCUGGCACUGGAAAGGCAUCCCAAAGGCAUUACAUACAGGAUGUCUAAGGGCCCAAGUGUCCCUCAUCUGUCAGCCAUCCUCCUCAUUUCUGCCUUGGGUUCAUUACUAUAGAUACCACGUCACCCACCCAUGGCAUCUUACAGAAACCAGAGCAGAUUGAGAAAAUAAAAAUAAAUUUUUAUAGCUGAACUUUCAAAUCACGCUUGUGUUCUUUGAAAAGGCCAUCGUUUCUGUUAGAUGCCUAUUUAGUCAGUCCCAGAUGUGCUGGCUGAUAUUCAAAAGGGAGUUAUCCUUCAGCACUUGAGAACCAGUAUGAGUAAGUGAUAUUUCAUUCACUAUUCCUCAAAUUGAGUUGUUUUCCUUCACCAUCUGCUUUGGUAAUCAACCUGUGUGAUUUUAUUGGCAACCUUUCCUAAGGCAUAUCUCUUUUAGACAGAGUAUCUGUCUUAACACUACAUGAUAGAUAAUGAGUCAUAACUGCUUAGACAUAACAAUUCUGUUGUCAGUUUUUGCCUGAGUAUGUUUAUAUUUUGUUUGAAUUUCAUCUCUACUGUUGGUACAUAGAAUAUCCUUUCCAUCCUGUUUUGUACUGCAGUGGGCAUGAUUGUAACAGGUUUUUCAGUGUAAGAGGAGGAUGUAUAGAACACAAAAAUCAAUAAUUUUGAGAUCUCUUUCCCAAACACUGCGUCACACUUUAUUGUACAGUGCUGUCUAUAAAAUAGCACACAACAGAGAUUUAGUUCUCAUAUUUUUCUCUUAUAAAGAAUAUUUCUGAGACAUUUUUUUUCCAUUUCUCUACUCUUCACCAUGACAUGUCCUAACCUUUCCUGCUUGUUUGCUAUGUUUAUACAUGGCCAUAUUUUGAAAGGAUUUAUGGUGGGGUUUUUUUUUCAGUACACUGAUUUACAGCUAGUGAGUAUUUUUCAUCACAUUGUUAAAACCUUUUAGGCACUUAUUAGUAUUGAUUGCUAUAAGCAAAUAUGCAACACCUUAAUUAUCUGUUUGUCAUCUAAUUUUUUUAUAAACUACCAACAUUUUACUUUAUCGUGACAUUUGGAAGUAAGUCUGUGUUCGGCAGGAAAUUUAUUUCACCAUCCCUAAAUAUCCUGCUGCUCUUAUAAACCCAAGUGGUUUUAUUUCACUAAACUAUAUGAAUUAAUCAACCAACAAGUCUGAGCAACAUGUAGUCCACAGUUACGUAGAAACAGAAUCUUUGCCUUCAGCAUUCUUAGUCUAUUGAAGGUGACAAGGCAUGAAUAAAAGAAAACAACAAAAGAAUUAGCAGAGGAUAGAACGUGAUAGUUGAUCAAAGAGAGAUGGAAACUUAUACAAGAGUUACAUAGAACAGAUCCCUGUGGAGAGAAGCUGGAAGUAAGAGUAGAUAGAGGUGGAAUGCCAAGAGUGAAGAUAGAUACAACUGAACCUUAAAAGAUGGAUGGUUUUACAUUAGCAAUUUAAGGAGAUAAAAAAAAAUUUUUUUGAGGAGCUAGAAUGAGAGGAGAUUGAUCCUUAGAAAGGUGGAAGCUUGGAGUGCUAUGCAAAAAGGCAUAGAAGCAGGAAAGUAAAUGGAGUUUGUGGGGGGAAAAUUGUGGUGAUGCCAUUUUGCACACUAGCAGUGGUUUGUGUACCUAAUAGGAGGUAUGACCAGAUGAAAAGUUAAAGUUCCAGAACUGGGAAUAUUAUAUACCAGGCUACAUAGCCUAUGAUGCAGAAAAACUAGUUAAGUAGGACACAAGUGAAUUAUAAUGACAAAUUUGGAAGCAGGAAUAAAAGAGACUGUAUUGUUUUAUUGUUCCAGGGGAGCCCACCAUAGAGUGUUAGCUAUGAGAAUAGACCGAACUAUUCUCAGAAUGACUGAGAGAAGCUACAUAGAAACUGAAGAUCAGAAAAUUAAGGUCAAUGGUUCCAAGCAAGGUUCUUCUGGCUGUCAUAUGGUCACAACCAGCAGGCAGUGCUACUAGCAUCACGUGGGAAGGGGAAUAUAAAGAGGAGGAAUAAUGGAUUCGAGUGGGAUGGAUGAAGAUAUAAUCCUGACACUUGCUGGAGUUUGUGAUGAAAAGGACUGCUUUAUUCUUAUCGUGUCAUUCUGCCUCAUGCAAUCCUCACAGAUUAAAUAAAUUGGACCUUCAAAAAAAGGAAAUAAUCCUACAAAGGGAAUCACAGAUACAAGGAGGACUAAUAAGGUCUUUAAUUGUUGGAGGAGGUUAUCAAGAGGAGAAGACCAUCCAGUCAGAGACUCCUCACCCCAUCCCUGUCUUUGAAAUGUCCCUUCUGCCCACCUUUUCCACAGUAGAAGCCAGUUUCAAGAAUACAAUCUAGGGAGACCAAUGCAUUGUUGAGAACAUCUGGACUGUGUAUGUGCUUUGUACCCCUUUAAAGCCUCUGUAUAAACUGGCCAGCAGGUAUGAAUGUCUAUCUUGUGGACACCCAAGAUAAGCCUCCUUGUUAAGUUCUCUUGCUUAUAAAACCUACUAUUUUCCACUCUGGAGAGACCUGCUUCCCUCUUUGGUCUGUCCUUUCCUCCGUGAACAAGAGCCAGCUUCACACUGCUUGGGAAGCUCCUGUUGCAAACCAACAUGCAUAUACUGUCUGUGGUUCAGCGACCUUCUUGAAUCUAUAUAUUUAAGUAUUUUGCCAAAUUUGGGAUUUUCUGGCUCUUCUUUAAUCUCCAAUUUUUUAUAUCUUUUUUUUUUGUAUGAAACCUUUCUCCAUUUCUAUGAGGGAUAAUCUCUCAAAGGAGCUCUUUUGGUCAGAUUGGACAGUUUCUAUUUGGAAUUUAAAACUAUACUACUUCCAUUUUAUUUAGAAAUAAUGUUUGCAUUCUUUCUAUCAUUAAUUACUUUGCUGAGAAUUUCUAUCUUUCCAUUAUUUUUGUAUGUCCUUAUUUGUUGGGAUGUUUUUACAAAGCACUGCUUUAAAGUUUUCCUGAAAUAAAUGUUACAUCUGUUGUCUCAAAUUUGAUGUCCAUUGGUGUUUUUUUCCCCCCACAAGAGUUGAUAUUUUUCUGAUUCUCUUUAUGCUAAGAAAUUUUAUUCUGUUCUUCAUUUUUAUUAUGAGACUAUCUUAUUUAAAUCCUACAGAGCAUGUUGUUAGUAUUUUUGCUGUUCUGACAGAAAACCAAUCUAAGCUGGUUAAGACAGUAAGGUCUGUGGGUCAUGGCCUCAACAUAAGCGUUGUUUUAAAAUCUCUGAAGGGCUAUUCAGAACUGUCUCAUUUGUGCCCCACCCACUGUCUGGUCUGGGAUGUUGGCAGCGGUCUAUCUCACAGUUCAGUGUCCCAUGUCCCUGCGUCCUGUUUAGAUCAGAUACACAUGUGCACAUCUUAGCAGUGAGCUCAAUACAACAACAGCUAGAGGGUUGCUUUCCAAAGUUUGUCUCUCUCCAUAAUCUCCUUAACACUUCGUGGUACCGUGGUGCUUGUUUUUUAUAUUGUUUGGCACAAGUCUCGCCUUUAUUUACCUGCACUUGCCAUGAACUUUCCACAUUGUACUCUGAUUCCAGAGACAAGAAGACAGAGAGAGGAAAAUAAAAACCACAGAGAUCUGUCUUAACUUCUUGGAACCAUGGUCGUCCCAUCAGAGGAAAUUUCCCUAUUUUAGGCUUUUAGAUACUGCAGCCACCUAUUUUCGCUGCUACACCAUACUUUUGCUUGGUGCUAAGAUCUAGGAGAACAGAGAAGUAAACACUCAAGGAGUCUUCCUACUCUCUCUGAAUAUUAGGAGACCCUUUUUUUCUCAAACCAGCACCAGAAGGUUUAUCCUUGAGUGCACAAGGGCAGAGUCCACACCCACUUCAGGUUUAAGCUGCGCUAAGCCCAAGUCAGUGUGAAUACCAGCAUAGGAAAGUGAGAACGUACCACGGUUUUGAUGCUCUUUUGAAUUCUGGUAUUAUUCCUCAAUAUACUUGCUACUAUUUGCUUUUCAGAGCUCCCUAGCUGUUCCAUGCCUUCUGUUCAGCUUUUAAAGCUGAAUUCAGUGGGUGAUGGAGUGGAACAUGUUUAUUUCACAUUACAUGGAAGCAUAACUUUUCACUUCACUUAUAAUUUAAUGAUUCUUUUUUUUAUUCCAUCAAAAAGUACAAUUAUUAGUCCUAAAAGAAAGAAGUCACUGAAUUUGGAACUCUAAAUAGCACAUUAAAAAAAUCCUUUUAAACCUUGAUCUACUGAAUCUUUAUUCAUUUUUUUAGUCCUUUUUUUUUUUUUUUUUUAUUUUCACGGUAGGCACACAGAAAAUUAGCCAUACUUCAAGUUUUUCAACUAAUCAGUCCUACAAUUAAGGUAAAUCUCUAUAUUCCCUGGAAAUUGUUUUCUCUUCAGCGGUUAAAUGAAUGAACUGGGGCAAAAUAUACUAAUAUAUUACUUCCAACCAAAAUCAUUUCAUUUAAAACUCAAUUUAAAUAAAUCUAAAAUCCUCAUAUGUUCAUCUUUAUAACUGCUCUAUGGUGUGUUAAACUUGGAUUCUUUAUUUUUUUCCCUGAUAAAAAUUAUAUCCAAUUCCAUAUUAAAAUUAUCUUAUCCACUUAAGUGUUGGAGCCAAAUGCCUCUGGUUCAUGAAAGCAUUUUGGGCACAACUCUUCCUAACUCCACAUUCACUGAUGACAUGUUAGUUGUUUGGAUUCCAUUGGAGUAGGAAUAUUUGCCCAACAAAAACUGUCAAAUAUUGCAAAUUGGAUCUCUUUUUUCUUUCCUCCCCUCUCCUGCCUGAGCUGGAUAUUAAACAGCUCAUACUGCUCAAUAAUAGAAAUUUGUACUUCACAGAGAAAUCAUUUUUCAGAAUAUUUCAUAAAGGGCAAAGGUUAACAAAAGGUAGAUUAGGAUAUAGAUCUAUCACAUAUUAAAUAUAUCAGUUCUUCUGGCAAUAUAAUUUACUGUCAUAGGAUUUGGCUGUGAUUUCUGAAACCUUGCCCAGCAUUUUCAGGCACCCUGUCAAAUUCUGAUUGCAAAUAAAUGGACAUUGUACAAAUAAGUUGUUUCUUACAUAGCCAAAACUUGGCUAUUUUUUCAGAGACUCUCAUGAUCAUUCUAGUAAUAAAGCUGAUAUAUAUGGCCUAUAGAGCCAGAACCUAUAGUUUAUAUGCUGUACCCAACUAUAAAUCUAACUGACCUGGAAGAAAUUAUUGAAGCAGCUGUGGUAGAUCUGUUUCCAAGUAACAUUUAAACAGAAAAGCAUGCAGACAUAGUUUACAUGAAUCACCUUCAGAGAAAGUGAUCUUUCCCUUAUAAGAGCUCCUACAUAAACUCAGAGUUACCCAGACAUGUCUCCCCUGAACGUGGUGAGAGUUUAAUUAGAGGAAGAAUAGAGAGCAAUGCAUAUUCAUCUAGUAUUGAGAAGCAGGAAGUGAUCAAUGGCUCUCAUCCAAGACACAUUUGCUUGGUGAUUUCAUCAUAGCACAACAACUCAAGUUUUGGUCCUUAUGUUGAAGAGUCAGAAAUAAAAUUUCAAUGAACCUUCUACAACAGAAAUAGAAUUAGUUUAUAAAAACAGAAUACUACCUGUACUUUGCAGUAGGACAUGAACCAGGCUAUUCAAAAAGGCAGACUUGCAUGGAACGCCAAAUGAUAAUCAGAAAGUUAUUGAUUUAAAUCAAAAGAAUGUACAAUGACAUCAGUUCUAAGAGAGUCUCAUUUAUUUAUCUCUAUAAUAGGAUUUAUCUAAUCACUGCAGCUGUAGUUAUUGAUAUCACCGGCUGAGAGAACCAGUGUUGGCUCCACAACUGGGAUGAGCUUAAGUGUGGGAAUAUGCCAUCCUACAUCUAUUGGCUAAGGCUGCUACAGUGACUCAUCUGAUCUGAUAACUAUCUGAUAUUCAGAUGGAAAAAGCACUCAUUUUCUUUAAAAAGGUGAUAUUUUUAUAUUUAUCCAGAUUACAAUGAAAGCAUUUCCAUAUACACCCUCAUGUCUAAAUUCUUGGGGAGAAAUAAUGAGGCUGUUUAUUUAAGAGUUUUCUUGAUUUUUUCUGUAUUAAUGAUAUCAAAAUAAUUUUGCAAUCAGGACACUGCUAUAGGUGUCUAUGACUCAUGUGCAGAAACCGCUGCAAUAUACUGUUUACAUUUCUUUCCCUCACCCCUAUGUCCAAAAGCAGUCAGAUGCCAUUAACAAGUAGAAAUACAACAAAAUGUAAGAUUCAACAAGAUAAAACUGUCUUCCUAGGUAAUGUGGCAGUUGAGGCUGUAUGGACUCCUUUUUGCUUCUAAACAUAAAAAGAAACCUAAAUUCAGAAGAAAAUACUAAGUGCCAUAAAUCAGCUCCACCAAGCAAACCGUACUCACUAGUUGAGAAAAAGAGAAAGAAAUCUUGUUGUGUGGCUGAAAUGGAAAUGAAGGGGAAAAAGUUCUUUGGAAGCAGAGGAUUAGGUUUUGCUAUAUACAAAGAUAAUGUGAUUACUUAACCACUAAAUAUGCUUGUUGACAACAGAAAGAAAUUAUAUCUAAAAACCCAUAUUUUAUGCCUUUUUAGACCACAGGUGGCUAGCUUGGACAGAAAUGGUUUAAAUUUUUAUAAAACUUUACUGAAAAAAAAAAA